rnacentral:misc_RNA from 1 species
UACGGAGGGUGCGAGCGUUAAUCGGAAUUACUGGGCGUAAAGCGUACGCAGGCGGUCGGGUAAGUCGGAUGUGAAAGCCCCGGGCUCAACCUGGGAACUGCAUUCGAUACUGUCCGGCUAGAGUAUGGGAGAGGGAAGUGGAAUUUCCGGUGUAGCGGUGAAAUGCGUAGAUAUCGGAAGGAACACCAGUGGCGAAGGCGACUUCCUGGCCCAAUACUGACGCUUAGGUGCGAAAGCGUGGGGAGCAAACAGG